GACGAACGCUGGCGGCGUGCUUAACACAUGCCAGUCGAACGGAAAGGCCCUGCUUUUGUGGGGUGCUCGAGUGGCGAACGGGUGAGUAACACGUGAGUAACCUGCCCUUGACGUUGGGAUAACUUCAGGAAACUGGGGCUAAUACCGGAUAGGAGCUCCUGCUGCAUGGUGGGGGGUGGAAAGUUUCGGCGGUUGGGGAUGGACUCGCGGCUUAUCAGCUUGUUGGUGGGGUAGUGGCUUACCAAGGCUUUGACGGGUAGCCGGCCUGAGAGGGUGACCGGCCACAUUGGGACUGAGAUACGGCCCAGACUCCUACGGGAGGCAGCAGUGGGGAAUAUUGCACAAUGGGCGGAAGCCUGAUGCAGCAACGCCGCGUGCGGGAUGACGGCCUUCGGGUUGUAAACCGCUUUCGCCUGUGACGAAGCGUGAGUGACGGUAAUGGGUAAAGAAGCACCGGCUAACUACGUG
rnacentral:rRNA from 1 species